AUUGAACGCUGGCGGCAUGCCUUACACAUGCAAGUCGAGCGGAGAUGAGGUGCUCGCACCUUAUCUUAGCGGCGGACGGGUGAGUAAUGCUUAGGAAUCUGCCUAUUAGUGGGGGACAACAUUCCGAAAGGAAUGCUAAUACCGCAUACGCCCUACGGGGGAAAGCAGGGGAUCUUCGGACCUUGCGCUAAUAGAUGAGCCUAAGUCGGAUUAGCCAGUUGGUGGGGUAAAGGCCUACCAAGGCGACGAUCUGUAGCGGGUCUGAGAGGAUGAUCCGCCACACUGGUACUGAGACACGGCCCAGACGCCUACGGGAGGCAGCAGUGGGGAAUAUUGGACAAUGGGCGGAAGCCUGAUCCAGCCAUGCCGCGUGUGUGAAGAAGGCCUUUUGGUUGUAAAGCACUUUAAGCGAGGAGGAGGCUACCUGGAUUAAUACUCUAGGAUAGUGGACGUUACUCGCAGAAUAAGCACCGGCUAACUCUGUGCCAGCCGCCGCCGUAACAC
rnacentral:rRNA from 1 species